rnacentral:rRNA from 1 species
AGCGUAGGCGGAACUACAAGACAGGGGUCAAAUCUCCGGGCUCAACCUGGAACUUGCCUUUGUGACUGUGGUUCUUGAGUAUGGUAGAGGUUGGCGGAAUUUCCGGUGUAGCGGUGGAAUGCGUAGAGAUCGGAAAGAACACCAGAGGCGAAGGCGGCCAACUGGACCAAUGCUGACGCUGAGGCUCGAAAGCGUGGGGAGCAAACAGGAUUAGAUACCCUGGUAGUCCACGCUGUAAACGAUGAACACUUGGUGUGGCGGGAGUUGACCCCUGCCGUGCCGUAGCUAAUGCGCUAAGUGUUCCGCCUGGGGAGUACGGUCGCAAGGCUGAA